UACGUAGGUGACAAGCGUUGUCCGGAUUUACUGGGCGUAAAGAGCGCGCAGGCGGUCGUUCAAGUCGAGUGUGAAAGCCCCCGGCUCAACUGGGGAGGGUCAUUCGAUACUGAUCGACUCGAAGGCAGGAGAGGGUAGUGGAAUUCCCGGUGUAGUGGUGAAAUGACGUAGAUAUCGGGAGGAACACCAGUGGCGAAGGCGACUACCUGGCCUGUUCUUGACGCUGAGGCGCGAAAGCUAGGGGAGCAAACGGGG
rnacentral:rRNA from 1 species